rnacentral:rRNA from 1 species
AACGAACGCUGGCGGCAGGCCUAACACAUGCAAGUCGAGCGGGCAUCCUUCGGGAUGUUAGCGGCGGACGGGUGAGUAACGCGUGGGAACGUGCCCUUUGCUACGGAAUAGCCUCGGGAAACUGAGAUUAAUACCGUAUGUGCCCUUCGGGGAAAGAUUUAUCGGCAAAGGAUCGGCCCGCGUUGGAUUAGGUAGUUGGUGGGGUAAUGGCCUACCAAGCCGACGAUCCAUAGCUGGUUUGAGAGGAUGAUCAGCCACACUGGGACUGAGACACGGCCCAGACUCCUACGGGAGGCAGCAGUGGGGAAUCUUAGACAAUGGGGGAAACCCUGAUCUAGCCAUGCCGCGUGAGCGAUGAAGGCCUUAGGGUUGUAAAGCUCUUUCAGUGGGGAAGAUAAUGACGGUACCCACAGAAGAAGCCCCCGGCUAACUCCGUG